rnacentral:misc_RNA from 1 species
GUGAGUCAUCGAAUCUUUGAACGCACCUUGCGCUCCUUGGUAUUCCUUGGAGCAUGCCUGUUUGAGUAUCAUGAAAUCUUCAAAGUAAAUCUUUUGUUAAUUCAAUUGGUUCUACUUUGGUAUUGGAGGCUUUGCAGCUUCACACCUGCUCCUCUUUGUGCAUUAGCUGGAUCUCAGUGUUAUGCUUGGUUCCACUCAGCGUGAUAAGGUAUCUAUCGCUGAGGACACUGUAACAGGUGGCCAAGGUAAAUGCAGAUGAACCGCUUCUAAUAGUCCAUUGACUUGGACAAUAUUUUUAUG